rnacentral:rRNA from 1 species
CAUAGGUUAAUGAGGCGAACCGGGGGAACUGAAACAUCUAAGUACCCCGAGGAAAAGAAAUCAACCGAGAUUCCCCCAGUAGCGGCGAGCGAACGGGGAGGAGCCCAGAGCCUGAAUCAGUGUGUGUGUUAGUGGAAGCGUCUGGAAAGGCGCGCGAUACAGGGUGACAGCCCCGUACACAAAAAUGCACAUGCUGUGAGCUCGAUGAGUAGGGCGGGACACGUGGUAUCCUGUCUGAAUAUGGGGGGACCAUCCUCCAAGGCUAAAUACUCCUGACUGACCGAUAGUGAACCAGUACCGUGAGGGAAAGGCGAAAAGAACCCCGGCGAGGGGAGUGAAAAAGAACCUGAAACCGU